GGCUCAGGAUGAACGCUAGCGGCAGGCCUAAUACAUGCAAGUCGAACGGCAGCGGACCUUCGGGUGCCGGCGAGUGGCGAACGGGUGAGUAAUAUAUCGGAACGUACCUUUCAGUGGGGAUAACGUAGCGAAAGUUACGCUAAUACCGCAUAUUCUGUGAGCAGGAAAGCAGGGGAUCGCAAGACCUUGCGCUGAUUGAGCGGCCGAUAUCAGAUUAGCUAGUUGGUGAGGUAAAGGCUCACCAAGGCGACGAUCUGUAGCGGGUCUGAGAGGAUGAUCCGCCACACUGGAACUGAGACACGGUCCAGACUCCUACGGGAGGCAGCAGUGGGGAAUUUUGGACAAUGGGCGCAAGCCUGAUCCAGCCAUGCCGCGUGAGUGAAGAAGGCCUUCGGGUUGUAAAGCUCUUUCGGCCGGGAAGAAAUCGCACAGGUUAAUACCCUGUGUGGAUGACGGUACCGGAAUAAGAAGCACCGGCUAACUACGUG
rnacentral:rRNA from 1 species